rnacentral:rRNA from 1 species
UACGUAGGGUGCAAGCGUUAAUCGGAAUUACUGGGCGUAAAGCGUGCGCAGGCGGUUUUGUAAGUCUGAUGUGAAAUCCCCGGGCUCAACCUGGGAAUUGCAUUGGAGACUGCAAGGCUAGAAUCUGGCAGAGGGGGGUAGAAUUCCACGUGUAGCAGUGAAAUGCGUAGAGAUGUGGAGGAACACCGAUGGCGAAGGCAGCCCCCUGG